rnacentral:lncRNA from 1 species
UUUAGAUUUUUAUAUUGCGACGAAAUCAUAAUUAUAUACUCGAAUUUGUGUUUUCGUGUUUUAUUAAACUGCCGUUAGAUGGUUCUGACGCAUUGCUAUAAGGCCGUGCUAUAUAAACACAGCCUAUUAUCUAGUCAACUCGGUCUUCUGUUUUCCUUUCCAUUUGCAGUCUUCAUUCGAAAGUAAUGGUACUCUUCCAUCAACCAGCGGUCAUCAAUGGUAGAAUUAAGUAAUUUCAAUUACCACAUUGGUUAAAGAAAAGGGGAACUGUUCUUGAAGACUGCCUAAAUGCAGAAUGAAAUUACAGAAAUGACCAACAACAGUGAAGAACAACAGACCUCAUCUUCCACCAAGGAGACCAUCAUAGAGGUGGUAAUUCAGCCACCAACAACAGAGGCCAAGGUUAAAUGUGAUGCUCCCCCCGCUGUGAUCACCACUCAGCCAGCACAGUCUAAAUGCAGAAUAAAAUUACAGAAAUGACCAACAACAGUGAAGAACAACAGACCUCAUCUUCCUCCGAAGAGACCAUCAUAUAGAGGUGGUAAUUCAGCCACCAACAACAGAGGCCAAGGUUGAAUGUGAUGCUCCCCCCGCUGUGAUCACCACUCAGCCAGCACAGUCUAAAUGCAGAAUGAAAUUACAGAAAUGACCAACAACAGUGAAGAACAACAGACCUCAUCUUCUUCUGAGGAGACCAUCAUAGAGGUGGUAAUUCAGCCACCAACAACAGAGGCCAAGGUUGAAUGUGAUGUUCCCCCCGCUGUGAUCACCACUCAGCCAGCACAGCCAAUGCUUGAAUACGAUGACAGCAUUGCUGUGGUCAUGUGGGAAGCCACCGUUACUGGUCGACGCCUCAUCGACGAGAUGGUCAACCUGGGAUCAUUCUACGUGGCACAGGAAGAGAAAGCAGAAGGGCACGAUUUCAACGAGUACGUCAUGGAUCAUUUUACGUGGCACAGGAAGAGGAAG